rnacentral:rRNA from 1 species
GGCACGCCUAACACAUGCAAGUCGAACGAAGUAGCAAUACUUAGUGGCAGACGGGUGAGUAACAUGUGGGUAUCUGCCCUUUGGCCUGGAAUAACACGAGGAAACUUGUGCUAAUACUGGAUAAGUCUUUACGGAGAAAGCUUUAUGCACCAUUGGAUGAGCCCGCACUUGAUUAGUUUGUUGGUGGGGUAAUGGCCUACCAAGACUGUGAUCAAUAGCUGAUUUGAGAGGAUGAUCAGCCACAUUGGGACUGAGACACGGCCCAAACUCCUACGGGAGGCAGCAGUGGGGAAUCUUGCACAAUGGAGGAAACUCUGAUGCAGCGAUGCCGCGUGAGUGAAGAAGGCCCUUGGGUUGUAAAGCUCUUUCGUCGGGGAAGAAAAUGACUGUACCCGAAUAAGAAGGUCCGGCUAACUUCGUGCCAGCAGCCGCGGUAAUACGAAGGGACCUAGCGUAGUUCGGAAUUACUGGGCUUAAAGAGUUCGUAGGUGGUUGAAAAAGUUGGUGGUGAAAUCCCAGAGCUUAACUCUGGAACUGCCAUCAAAACUUUUCAGCUAGAGUAUGAUAGAGGAAAGCAGAAUUUCUAGUGUAGAGGUGAAAUUCGUAGAUAUUAGAAAGAAUACCAAUUGCGAAGGCAGCUUUCUGGAUCAUUACUGACACUGAGGAACGAAAGCAUGGGUAGCGAAGAGGAUUAGAUACCCUCGUAGUCCAUGCCGUAAACGAUGUGUGUUAGACGUUGGAAAUUUAUUUUCAGUGUCGCAGCGAAAGCGAUAAACACACCGCCUGGGG